UCUGGACAGCCGAGAGAGAGAAUUGUUGCAGCUGCUAGCUGUGUGUUUUAGGCUUCAGGCUAAGGAUUUAACGAGGACUUGGACUACGAUUCCCGGCUUGACCUUUGAACUUCACUCUUGGUUCCGGAAAUCGAGAGACUUGAAG